GAUGAACGCUGGCGGCGUGCCUAAUACAUGCAAGUCGAGCGAACAGACGAGGAGCUUGCUCCUCUGACGUUAGCGGCGGACGGGUGAGUAACACGUGGAUAACCUACCUAUAAGACUGGGAUAACUUCGGGAAACCGGAGCUAAUACCGGAGAAUAUAUUGAACCGCAUGGGUCAUUAGUGAAAGACGGCUUUGCUGUCACUUAUAGAUGGAUCUGCGCCGCAUUAGCUAGUUGUUAGGGUAACGGCUUACCACGGCAACGAUGCGUAGCCGACCUGAGAGGGUGAUCGGCCACACUGGAACUGAGACACGGUCCAGGGUCCUACGGGAGGCAGCAGUAGGGAAUCGUCCGCAGUGGGCGAAAGCCUGACGGAGCAACGCCGCGUGAGUGAUGAAGGUCUUCGGAUCGUAAAACUCUGUUAUUAGGGAAAAACAAAUGUGUAAGUAGCUAUGCACGUCUUGACGGUACCUAAUCAGAAAGCCACGGCUAACUACGUG
rnacentral:rRNA from 1 species